UCGCUGUGACGAAAAUGAUUCCAAAAUCAUUCGUAGUUUCUACUAGAGGUUGCAAGACCAAAGAUGGCCCGAGUACCUUCCUUGGAUGUCUGAGCGA